rnacentral:rRNA from 1 species
AUUGAACGCUGGCGGCACUGCCUUACACAUGCAAGUCGAACGGCAGCAUGAUCUAGCUUGCUAGAUUGAUGGCGAGUGGCGAACGGGUGAGUAAUACAUCGGAACGUGCCCUGUAGUGGGGGAUAACUAGUCGAAAGAUUAGCUAAUACCGCAUACGACCUGAGGGUGAAAGUGGGGGACCGCAAGGCCUCAUGCUAUAGGAGCGGCCGAUGUCUGAUUAGCUAGUUGGUGAGGUAAAGGCUCACCAAGGCGACGAUCAGUAGCUGGUCUGAGAGGACGAUCAGCCACACUGGGACUGAGACACGGCCCAGACCCCUACGGGAGGCAGCAGUGGGGAAUUUUGGACAAUGGGGGCAACCCUGAUCCAGCAAUGCCGCGUGUGUGAAGAAGGCCUUCGGGUUGUAAAGCACUUUUGUCCGGAAAGAAAUCGCACUUACUAAUAUUAGGUGUGGAUGACGGUACCGGAAGAAUAAGGACCGGCUAACUACGUG